rnacentral:rRNA from 1 species
AUGAACGCUGGCGGCGUGCCUAAUACAUGCAAGUCGAGCGAACAGACGAGGAGCUUGCUCCUCUGACGUUAGCGGCGGACGGGUGAGUAACACGUGGAUAACCUACCUAUAAGACUGGGAUAACUUCGGGAAACCGGAGCUAAUACCGGAUAAUAUAUUGAACCGCAUGGUUCAAUAGUGAAAGACGGUUUUGCUGUCACUUAUAGAUGGAUCCGCGCCGCAUUAGCUAGUUGGUAAGGUAACGGCUUACCAAGGCAACGAUGCGUAGCCGACCUGGGAGGGUGAUCGGCCACACUGGAACUGAGACACGGUCCAGACUCCUACGGGAGGCAGCAGUAGGGAAUCUUCCGCAAAGGGCGAAAGCCUGACGGAGCAACGCCGCGUGAGUGAUGAAGGUCUUCGGAUCGUAAAACUCUGUUAUUAGGGAAGAACAAAUGUGUAAGUAACUAUGCACGUCUUGACGGUACCUAAUCAGAAAGCCACGGAUAACUACGUG